ACCAGACUCCUACGGGAGGCAGCAGUGGGGAAUAUUGCACAAUGGGGGAAACCCUGAUGCAGCGACGCCGCGUGAGUGAAGAAGUAAUUCGUUAUGUAAAGCUCUAUCAGCAGGGAAGAAAAUGACGGUACCUGAGUAAGAAGCCCCGGCUAACUACGUGCCAGCAGCCGCGGUAAUACGUAGGGGGCAAGCGUUAUCCGGAUUUAUUGGGUGUAAAGGGUGCGUAGACGGGCUAACAAGUUAGUUGUGAAAUCCCUCGGCUCAACUGAGGAACUGCAACUAAAACUAUUAGUCUCUGAGUGCGGGAGAGGAAAGUGGAAUUCCUAGUGUAGCGGUGAAAUGCGUAGAUAUUAGGAGGAACACCAGUGGCGAAGGCGGCUUACUGGACUGUAACUGACGUUGAGGCUCGAAAGCGUGGGGAGCAAACAGGAUUAGAUACCCCCGUAGUA
rnacentral:rRNA from 1 species